AAGUCGUAACAAGGUUUCCGUAGGUGAACCUGCGGAAGGAUCAUUAAUGAAUGCAAGGAUGCUCUCUUUAGAGGUCCGAUCUUUCAUUUUCCUUACACUGUGAACCAAAUUUUUACACCAUUUUUAAACACAUAAGUCUAAGAAUGUCACAAGUCUCUUGAUUGAGCAUAAAAUUAUAAAAACUUUCGGCAACGGAUCUCUUGGCUCCCGCAUCGAUGAAGAACGCAGCGAAAUGCGAUACGUAAUGUGAAUUGCAGAAUUCAGUGAAUCAUCGAAUCUUUGAACGCACCUUGCACUCUUUGGUAUUCCGAAGAGUAUGUCUGUUUGAGUGUCGUGAAAUUCUCAACCCCCCUAUUUUGUAAUGAAAUAGGUUUUGUGGGCUUGGAUUAUGGCUGCCUGUCGGCUCGUUGCGAGUCGGCUCAGCUGAAAUACACGAGCAACCCAGUUGAAACAGCGACGGCUUGACUCGGCGUAAUAACAUAUUUCGCUGAGGACGUCCACUGUACGUUUCAAGCAGUGGGGGCUUCUAAUGCAUAUUCAUUUUAAACUUUAGACCUCAAAUCAGAUAGGACUACCCGCUGAACUUAAGCAUAUCAAUAAGCGGAGGAAAAGAAACUAACAAGGAUUCCCCUAGUAACGGCGAGUGAAGUGGGAAAAGCUCAACUUUGAAAUCUGGCAGCUUCGCUGUCCGAGUUGUAGUCUCGAGAAGCGUUUUCCGCGCCGAAGCAUGUAUGAGUCUGUUGGAAUACAGCGUCAUAGAGGGUGAGAACCCCGUUCAUGACAUGCCUUUCGGUGCUUUGUGAUACGCUUUCGAUGAGUCGAGUUGUUUGGGAAUGCAGCUCUAAAUGGGUGGUAAAUUCCAUCUAAAGCUAAAUAUUGGCGGGAGACCGAUAGCAAACAAGUACCGUGAGGGAAAGAUGAAAAGCACUUUGGAAAGAGAGUUAAAAGUACGUGAAAUUGUCGAAAGGGAAACGCUUGAAGUCGGACGUGCAGGGCAACUUGCAGGCCAACAUCGGUUUCACCAGCCGGAUAAAGGUGGAGGGAAGGUAGCAGCUCCGGCUGUGUUAUAGCCCUCUACUGAAUACGGAUGGAGAGACCGAGGACCGCAGCUUAUGCUUAGGAUGUUGGUGGAACGGCUUUAAACGACC
rnacentral:rRNA from 1 species